rnacentral:rRNA from 1 species
CCUACGGGAGGCAGCAGUGAGGAAUAUUGGUCAAUGGGCGCGAGCCUGAACCAGCCAAGUCGCGUGAGGGAAGACGGUCCUAUGGAUUGUAAACCUCUUUUGUCGGGGAGCAAAAGACGCCACGCGUGGCGUUCCGAGAGUACCCGAAGAAAAAGCAUCGGCUAACUCCGUGCCAGCAGCCGCGGUAAUACGGAGGAUGCGAGCGUUGUCCGGAUUUAUUGGGUUUAAAGGGUGCGCAGGCGGAAGAUUAAGUCAGCGGUAAAAUUGAGGGGCUCAACCUCUUCGAGCCGUUGAAACUGGUUAUCUUGAGUGAGCGAGAAGUAUGCGGAAUGCGUGGUGUAGCGGUGAAAUGCAUAGAUAUCACGCAGAACUCCGAUGGCGAAGGCAGCAUACCGGCGCUCAACUGACGCUCAUGCACGAAAGUGUGGGUAUCGAACAGGAUUAGAUACCCCUGUAGUC